AUCUGUUCUUAUCAGUUUAAUAUCUGAUAUGUCCUCUACACGGGGACAAUAUAUAUGAAAUGCGUUUUUGGCAUCUGGAGCUGUUAAACGGGGCUUGCUCCGUUCACUCCACGCAUUGACCCGGUAUUGCAGUAUCGCUGGGAACGGUGC
rnacentral:snRNA from 1 species